rnacentral:rRNA from 1 species
UAUGUAGGUGACAAGCGUUGUCCGGAUUUACUGGGCGUAAAGAGCGCGCAGGCGGUCGUUCAAGUCGAGUGUGAAAGCCCCGGGCUCAACCUGGGAAUUGCAUUCGAGACUGAAUAGCUAGGGUACGGUAGAGGGAAGCGGAAUUUCCGGUGUAGCGGUGAAAUGCGUAGAUAUCGGAAGGAACAUCAGUGGCGAAAGCGGCUUCCUGGACCAGUACCGACGUUCAGGCACGAAAGCGUGGGGAGCAAACAGG